rnacentral:rRNA from 1 species
GACAGAGGUCCCGAGCGUUAGGCGGAAUCACUGGGCUUAAAGCGUGUGUAGGCGGAUCGUUAAGUGCCUUGUGAAAUCCCCCGGCUCAACCGGGGAACUGCUGGGCAUACUGCGUUUCUUGGGCCAAUCAGGGGUCGUCGGAACAAACGGUGGAGCGGUGAAAUGCGUAGAUAUCGUUUGGAACGCCAAAGGUGAAAACAGGUCGCUGGGAGUGUGCUGACGCUGAGACACGAAAGCCAGGGGAGCAAACGGG